rnacentral:tRNA from 1 species
GCCCGGCUAGCUCAAUCGGUAGAGCGUGAGACUCUUACGGACGCAUUCUUCGGAAAAUUCCAAAUCUCAAGGCUGUGGGUUCGACCCCCACGUCGGGCU